CCGAUUCGACCCAGCAGCCCAAAUCGACCCUGCCCAUUGCCCCUUCGCCACCCUUCUCCUCUUCCCCGCGUUCCCCUUACCUCCCACGGCGGCGACGAGAUCAGACGAUGACGAUCGACGGCAUGAACUGAGACUCGGUCUCCGGCGAGACAACAGGUUUGAGGCAUGGAUCCUUUGGAUUAUCUGUCAAUCAGGUUCCAUUUCAGAGGGAAUUUUUACCAUGAUGGUACAGAGUGGCAGUAUGUGGGUGGUAAACAUGGUAUAUCCACAGUUCAUCUGUCAAAACUGAGCCUUGAAGAAUUGAAAAACAAUCUUGCGGACCAUGUUGCAUGUUCAGGAAAAGCUCUGAAGUUAUGGACAUAUAUUGUAAGAUACCUGAUGAGUUUUCAGAGGAAGAGGCUAGUGACUGGGAGGAUGAGCAUGCAAAGGAGCAGCAAGAACAUAUCGAGGAGCAGCAGCAACAUGUAGAGGAGGAGCGACGACAACAAAGAGAAGACCAGCAGCCAAAUGCAGAAGAGCGGCAGAAAAAUUCAGAGAAACAGUGGCAGCAUAAUGCAAAUGCUCAGGAGCAGCACAAUAAUCCAAAUGUAGAGGAGAAUAUACUAGAACCAGAAGCUUGCAAUGCUCAAAUAUCUAUUACCAGCCUAGCAACAGAAAUGCUAAAUUGCCAGUGAAGAGAGGAAGCCGCCAAAUGCAGGACAAAUGGAAAUCAAAUUUAGAUGAGUAUGAAGUACACACUGCAAGUGAUGGGUCUGAAUCAGAUGACAGUGACUAUGCUAUUCCCCCAGCAGAGAGCAAUAGCUCAGCAUCUGAUGAUGAAGUGCUAGAGUUGAGGAAAUAUGCUAAAGAAUUGAAGGAGAAAGUCAGAAAGAACAUGCUGAGAGAAGAGGAGGGCAAACCAUGCAAUGUGCCUGAAGAAUUUAUUAUCCCAGAAACAUUUAAGCUAGAUGAUUCAGAUGGAGAAGGAACACCAUAUUUCGAAAGUGAUGAUGACUUGUCAUAUGAUGAAGGCUGUGAUGGAGAGGUAAAUGAAGUGAGAAGAAGGAAAACAACACACAGAGUUUUUGAUGACAGUACUGACAAACCAGAAUUUGCUGUCGGCAUGGCAUUUCAAGAUAGCAGGGAGUUCAAACAGGCACUGGUUAAGUAUGGGCUAGCAAAUUUCCACCAUUUAAGAUUUCCAAAAGAUGAAAAGAAAAGAGUCAGUGCAGAGUGUUCCUGGCCUGGUUGUCCUAGGAGCAUUUAUGGUUCCAUUACUAGCAGGUCUGAUUGGUUGCUAGUUGUGAGGUAUACAAAUGAGCACACAUGCAUUCCUAGGAUGGACAACAAGCUUGUUUACAAGCACAGUCAUUGCCAAAAAGUAUUUCAGACAGAUCAGACACAAUCCUACUUGGCAUGUAGAGCAUAUGCAGGAGGCGGUACUUGAGGAUCUUCUAGCUGAGGUUAGCCUUUCCCAGUGCAAGAGAGCAAAGAAGUUAGUCAUGGAAAAGCUCACUGAUUUGACUAAUGGUGACUAUUCUAGAGUCUACGACUACCACUUAGAGCUAGUGAGAAGCAAUCCUGGUAGCACAAUGGCAGUGCCAGUUUUUCAGAGAAUGUAUAUUUGUCUUCAUGCCUGCAAAAAGGGUUUCCUAGCUGGGUGUAGAAGAGUUGUGGGUUUAGAUGGGUGCUUUCUGAAGGGGUCAGUGUCCGGUGAAAUAUUGUAUGCUAUUGGCAGAGAUGGAGAUGUGUGCAUGGGCUACAGUUGAGGUUGAAUCCUAUGACUCAUGGUACUGGUUGCAUGGCCAAACUAGCCCCAAAAAGUGUGGAAGCAGCUAAAGACAUCUUGAAAACUGCACCAAAGCAUUGGAGCAGGGCCUACUUGAAGCUAGGUUCUUGGUGUGACUCAGUGGAGAAUAAUCUGUGUGAAUCCUUCAAUAAUGCUAUAAUGAAGGCAAGGUUCUUUCCUGUUAUUACAGCAAAUGAGAUUAUUAGGAAAAUGGUGAUGGUAAGGAUCCAAGAAAAUAGAGCUAAACAUUUGCCCUAAUGUUAAAAAAAAUUAAGCUGAACAUCAAGAGGUCAGGACUGCGUCAGGUUCUUUGGAAUGGGAAGGAAGGAUUUGAAGUUCAAGAAGGUGUGCAUAGGAGGUACACAGUGAACUUGGAGGCAUGGAAAUGUUCUUGCGGAUAUUGGGAACUGUCUGGUUUGCCCUGUCCUCAUGCUAUCAGUGCAAUUUACACAUGUGAUAGACAACUAGAUGAUUAUAUUGCUCCAUGCUACUCAUAGAGUGAUGCCAUGAAGAAAGAAGACAAAAAGAAGAGAAGAGGGUGAGAAACCUCAGGGGAAUAAGCUUUCAAAUAAAGGAAUAAGAAUAUCAUGUUCUGUUUGUGGGAGCUUUGAUCAUAAUAAAAGAAAGUGUUUGGGAAACCCAAACAGAGACAAGAAGCAAAAAGAUAAAUACAAAAGAGCAGCACAAAGAGCAAUAAAGAAGAAGCAAAAGGAUUCAGAAAUCAACACUCCAGUGCCACAGCCACCAAAGAGGACAAACAGAACCCUUGGAGUCUUCCUCUCCCCUCACCACUCCAACUGUGAGGACAUGUUAGAGUAACAGAACCUUCAGGUUGCUCAAGAUUUCAACCACUGAACAUUUGAUUAUACUAUACCGAUUCUUUUCGGAACGCCAUAUUUCCCAGA